CUGCCCGGCUGCCUCUCAGCCCGGACCCGGUGCUCGAUGGGCCCCUUCCCCUGCCUGCCCCGCCUUUGCCCGCUUCCCCCAAACCCACAUUCUCUCCCUGCUCCUGGGGCCUCCGCUCCCGCUGCCGGAGAGCGCCCAAGCCGUGCGCACCCCCGCUGGCCUCCUGGAUCUGCAUGUAGGAGGGCCCGGGAGGAGGCCCAUCUUCCCCACGGGGUAAAGGGCAGAGGGGAUCCAGGCCCCGGGGGCACCAGCCCCGUUCAGAGCCCCGGAAGAGGCUUCAUUCAUCUACUGAGAAAACAUUUAUUGAGCUGCUUCUGCAUGCUCCGCCUAGUAAUACAGAAAAUAAGAAAUGCCUUCAGUGCCGUCAGAGUACAGAUAAGUGGCUGUCUUCGGAGACGGGAGGGCACCUGCCCCAAGUCACUCCACUAGUAAUCCCAAUAGCGACACUACGAUUUGGGUGUGCCCCUGGGGGGACCAUGCAAAGACUAGCAAGGACCAGCAAGGUGCUUUCCCCGGGUCAUGCCGUAGCCAGUCCUCACGAUCCUGUUCAUUCUUUCAACAAACAUGUGUGACCAUCUAGCAUGUGCCAGGCCCUGGGCUCCGUGCUAAGAAUACAGUGAUAAGCAAGAUGCACCUGGUCCCUGCCCAUGGACUCCACUGACGUAACAGUAAAGAUAGAGGAUAGAAACCACACUGUCCCCCUCGAGGCAGUAUGAUGAUCUUUAAUUUCUGGAUGUAGAAAAGCUGAGACUAGAUAAUUCACUCAGUCAUCUAGGAAGAAAGUAGCCAAUUCAGGACUGGAAUCCGUGUCCUCAGACUCCACAUCCUGGGUUCUUUUUCACUUUAAAGGUUAGGAAAAUGUGGGUGGGAUCAAUGUACAGACCCUUCAACUUCAAGCCAAGAAAUUUUGGUCUAAAUCAAAUGGUUAUGAGCAGCCAAGGAAGGAAGGAAAGCAGAAUGACAGUGACCCAAGGACAGGCACAAGAUGGGCGUGGAUGGUUAUGCCGAAGACUCUUGCAAUAGUCCCAGCAAAGGGUAGUGAGGCUCUGAUCCCGAGAAGGGAUAGUGGGGAUGGGAAGGGGGGAUUUCUACCCACCGAAACCUUCUAGAUCUCUGUUUGCAUGCAUUCUUAUGUUAAAUAAAGGAAAGGAACCACCAGUACCAAGUUUCCACUAAGUGCUAGGCAAUGCCCCAAGCAUUUUGUGUGUAUGAUCUUGUUAAAUCCUCCCCAGUAUGCUGCACGUAGGUAUUUUUAUUCUCAUUUCAGGAUAAGGAAACAGAGACUUUGAGAGGUUAAACGACUUGAUGAUGCCCACAAAGCAAGCUGUGUUGGGGUUGGGUUAGAGCCCAGGCCUGUCUCCAAAAUCUCACGCUGUAACCACUGCUCUCUACUGUCUGAAGCCAAGGCAAAGAACCAAAGUCCUCUGAUUCAGCCAAGGGUUCUUAACCGUUGGACCACAGGACCCUGCAGAGGCCUCAGCCCUGGAGAAUUCUGCAGCCCAGUUCCAGAGUUCCUGUGGGGAUGGGCCGAGAAACCCUGAGGCAGAAGCAGAAGUGCAAAAACCCCUCUGGGGUGAGAGGGGAACCAUGGGUGCCAAGCGGAAGAUGUAGCCAGAGUGCCGGUGGCUGGGUAUGACUCUGAGUGUCUGCUGGGACCUGUGUCCUGCAGCUUGGCGCUACACAGACAGGCCCAGCUGCGGAGAGCUCGUGAGGCAGGGCCGUCUAACCACCCGGGAAGCCUGCAGUCCCGGCCUCUCUGACUGGAGAGCAUCGGAAGCUUUGCCUCUUCUCAACCUCAUUGUCCUUCCCAAAUCUGACCACCAAUCCUGCCCUGAAUUAUUCAUGCUGUGGGCUGUGAGAAGGUGGAGCUUCCAGAGGCUUCUGGACUUAGGACCUAGGACAGUCAGCUGUGUCUCCCCGGGGCUCUAGCUCCAGCAGUGCUACCCUGGGAUUGAGCUGCUGGUCUUUGCUUAAAUGGAAACUCUUCGGGUCGCCUAUCUACAUCUUCCCUACUGGCCUUUUCUUCCACUAUUAUCCUCUAUCCCACCGAUUCCUCUGGACCCUUUGGAAUCAGACAGGUGUCCAAUGGAAGGUGUGAAGUAAAGCUAUCCAGAGGAAAGAGCACAGGAUCCCCAAACUAAGAGGGACUAUGAAGAUUUCUAAGCUCUGCCUAGAACAUUCCCUCCCACCAUUCACGAGGAAGAGCUGACAAGCCACCUCCAGAAUGUAUGCUGAACGCAUCCACUUCCUCCAUCCGUGACCACCUUCAUCCGUCAUUCACUGGACAACUGCACUCGCCUUCUGAAUGAUCUUCCAGUUUCCGCUCUUGCUCCCACCCACUUCAAUCCUUGAAGCAGCCUAGAGUGAGCCUUUUUAACCAUAAAUCAUGUCAUGUCACCCCCCACAGUGCAGUUGCAACCUGCACUUAGAAUAAAAUAUAAACUCCUUAUAAAGGUCCAUAAUGAUCUGGCCCUGGCUUAGACCUCAUCUCAAGACCCCUGGCUCACUGGAUUCCAACAUAUCGGACCUUCUUCCUGUUGCUCUAACAAGCUAAUCUCAUUCUCAUCUUAGGGCUUUGCCAAGCUGCCUGGAAUUCCCUUCUCUAAAAUGUUACAUGAUUGGGACACCUGGCUGGCUCAGUGGGUAGAACAAGGGACUCUUGAUCUUGGGGUCAUGAGUUCAAGACCCAUGUGGGGCAUGGAGUAGGCCUACUGAAAAUUAAAAAAAA